AUUGAACGCUGGCGGCAGGCCUAACACAUGCAAGUCGAACGAGUGGCGGACGGGUGAGUAAUGUCUGGGAAACUGCCCGAUGGAGGGGUCUAACUGCUGUAAACGGUAGCUAAUACCGCAUACCAUCGGAUGUGCCCAGAUUGGAUUAGCUAGUCGGUGGGGUAACGGCUCACCUAGGCGACGAUCCCUAGCUGGUCUGAGAGGAUGACCGGCCACACUGGGACUGAGACACGGUCCAGACUCCUACGGGAGGCAGCAGUGGGGAAUAUUGGGCAAUGGGCGAAAGCCUGAUGCAGCAAUGCCGCGUGUGUGAAGAAGGCCUUCGGAUUGUAAAGUACUGUAAGCGAGGAGGCGUUACCCGCAGAAGAAGCACCGGCUAACUCCGUGCCAGCAGCCGCGGUAAUUC
rnacentral:rRNA from 1 species